AUUGAACGCUGGCGGCAGGCCUAACACAUGCAAGUCGAGCGGAUGAAGGGAGCUUGCUCCUGGAUUCAGCGGCGGACGGGUGAGUAAUGCCUAGGAAUCUGCCUGGUAGUGGGGGAUAACGUCCGGAAACGGGCGCUAAUACCGCAUACGUCCUGAGGGAGAAAGUGGGGGAUCUUCGGACCUCACGCUAUCAGAUGAGCCUAGGUCGGAUUAGCUAGUUGGUGGGGUAAAGGCCUACCAAGGCGACGAUCCGUAACUGGUCUGAGAGGAUGAUCAGUCAACACGGAAACUAGACAAGGUCCCAAAUUCCAAGGGGAGGAAGCGGUGGGAAUAAUUGACAAUGGGCGAAAACCCUAUCCCGCCAAGGCGGGGGGUGUAAGAAAGGUUUUCGAAUUGAAAACACCUUUAAGUGGGAAGAAGGGGAAGUAGUUAAUACCUUGCUGUUUUGACGUUACCAACAGAAUAAGCACCGGCUAACCUCGUG
rnacentral:rRNA from 1 species